ACGAACGCUGGCGGCGUGCCUAACACAUGCAAGUCGAACGAGAAAGGGGCUUCGGCUCCGAGUAAAGUGGCGCACGGGUGAGUAACACGUGGGUAACCUGCCUCUAAGAUUGGGAUAACUCGUCGAAAGAUGAGCUAAUACCGAAUAAGACCACAGUUCCCGCGGGAACAGGGGUCAAAGGUAGCCUCUGCUUGCAAGCUAUCACUUAGAGAUGGGCCUGCGCACCAUUAGCUAGUUGGUAGGGUAACGGCCUACCAAGGCAAAGAUGGUUAACUGGUCUGAGAGGAUGAUCCGCCACACUGGAACUGAGACACGGUCCAGACUCCUACGGGAGGCAGCAGUGGGGAAUAUUGCGCAAUAGGCGAAAGCUUGACGCAGCAACGCCGCGUGAGUGAUGAAGGCCUUCGGGUCGUAAAGCUCUGUCGGGAGGAACGAAUGCUCCUGAGGUUAACAGCCUCGGGAGGUGACGGUACCUUCAAAGGAAGCACCGGCUAACUCUGUG
rnacentral:rRNA from 1 species